CUGCGCCGUUCCCCUCCUGCCUCCAGAAUUGUCCCCACAGACCCCCACCAUGCAGUCUGCCCUCGGUCUACUUUCCAUCCUGACCCUGAUCCAAGGUGCCCAGGGUGAUGUACUGAUCGAGUCAGGGGGUGAUGUGAAACCGCCUGGAGCAUCUCUGCUCCUCUCCUGUAAAACCUCCGGAUUCACCUUCAGUAACUAUGGCAUGCACUGGGUUCGCCAGGCUCCAGGGAAGGGACUGGAGUGGGUCGCAGUUAUAAAUAGUAAAGGGGACUGGACAAGUUACGCAGGCUCUGUGAAAGGCCGAUUCACCAUCUCCAGGGACAUCGCCAACAGCCAGCUAUAUCUGCAAAUGACCAACCUGAAAACUGAGGACAUGGCCCUCUAUUAUUGUGCAAGAAACACAGUGAGAGAAACCACAUCCUGA